rnacentral:lncRNA from 1 species
CCCUGACCCUCUCUGGAUUAUGGUGGAGAGUAGAGCCAGUUGGGGGAUGCACCCUUAGGUCCUCAAUGUCUUCUUUGCAUGAAGUUUUUUAUGACUUGCUUUUUGAGGUCAGCUUAUAUGAAACUAGACAAGCCCAUUUCUUUAUUUUUUAAAAUUAAAAACUCUUCACCUUCUGUCUUAGAAUCAAUACUGAGUAUUGGUUCUAAGGCAGAAGAGUGGUGAGGCUCAGGAUCACCCAGUGAGGAAGUUUCUGAGGCCAGAUUUGAACCUAGGACCUCCCAUCUCUGGACCUGGCUCUCCAUCCACUGAGCCAUCCAGCUGCCCCAUAGCCCAUUUCUUUUUGCUUUUCCUCUUCCUUUUGAUGAAGAAAUAGUUCUAUUCUAGACACUCCACCAAACUUUAAUGACGCUAAGAUCAGAUUUACUUCUUUUUCUUAGAAUUCCCAAUUCAGCAAGCGUUUGGUCUAAACGUUGAAUGUUGCUGUGUAGCCUCUGGAAGCUGUGGGUUUAUGUUGUUCUUGGAUUAUGUCUCUGGUGAGCUUCUAGGGGUCUCACUCGAUAUUCUCAUCCAGAACCCACAGUUUCCAAUCAUGAAGACCUGGGCAGGGCAAGGGCAGGCCACCUUGUUUGUGGUUCUUGUUCUGCUAAGUAGGGAAUUGGGCACAGAGCCUGGCACAUAGUAGGUGCUUAAUAAUGCUUGCUGGCUGAUCCGUUGGAAUGGGGCCCAGAUUGUGCAGUAGAGUCACCCUUACCACGUUCAGCAAGCCUCAGAUUUAGCUCUGGAUGGACCUUGGAGGUAAGGGCUGGUGGACGCUGCGCAUCCCUCAGGGCCCGGUUCUAGGCUAUCUCUGCUGGGAACCUAUUUCAGCUCACACAGGAAUCUCUUCUAUACCUCUGCAUGGCAGGUGUCGCUGAGUGACCCACGGCUAUCGUUCCCACGAGGCCCGGGGAGCCACGGCCGGGGCCUGCCUGGGAGAGGCGAUGCUGCUGGCUAGAGGAGGCUUCCGACUGGGAGACAGAAAGAGGAAACAUCAGGGUUGGGUGAAACAGCGGCCAGAGGGAAGAGUGAGCUCCAAAGGGCCAGCAGAGAUCCAGGCAGAGGCUCAGACGAGGCUGCUCCCGAGGAAUGAAAGGAGAGAAAAGAAAGGAAGUUAA